rnacentral:rRNA from 1 species
AAUCAAUUGAAGGGUUUGAUUCUGGCUCAGAAUGAACGUUGGCGGCGUGGAUUAGGCAUGCGAGUCG